AUUGAACGCUGGCGGCAGGCUUAACACAUGCAAGUCGAACGAGAGGCGGACGGGUGAGAAAUGCAUGGGAAUCUAGCUUAUGGAGGGGGAUAACUACGGGAAACUGUAGCUAAUACCGCGUACCAUAGGAUGAGCCCCAGUGGGAUUAGGUAGUUGGUGGGGUAAAGGCACACCAAGCCCACGAUCCCUAGCUGGUCUGAGAGGCGUACCAGCCACACUGGUACUGAGACACGGCCCAGACUCCUACGGGAGGCAGCAGUGGUGAAGAUUGCGCAAUGGGGGCAACCUGACGCAGCCAUGCCGCGUGAAUGAAGAAGGCCUUCGGGUUGUAAAGUUCUUUCGGUAGCGAGGCGUUAACUACAGAAGAAGCACCGGUUAACUACGUGCCAGCAGCCGCGGUAAUAC
rnacentral:rRNA from 1 species